AAUAAAGCGAAUGUUUUGUGCAAAUGCCUUGUUGUUCUGAUAUUAGCUUGUCGGAGCUAACACAAGGUCACAUUGGAGUACGGGUUGAUAAGCCUUAGGCUUUGGUCUGACGGGACGUGUUAAUGGGCGGCCUGGCCUAGUUACGAAUUGCACUUUUUAUAACUUUGGCUGGAUUGCCCGUUAACCCGUCUUGUAGCGCUCCUGAACCUUGGUAAACGGUCGGGCCGUCGGUCAUGUUCUUGUUUGAUUGUUGGCCGGUGGUUCGACCUAUGCCUAGAACGGUUCGGGGGUGUUACAGCCAGAGGCAUUCGUAUUUCAUAGUCAGAGGUGAAAUUCUUGGAUUUAUAAAAGACGAACAACUGCGAAAGCAUUUGCCAAGGAUGUUUUCAUUAAUCAAGAAGGAAAGUUGGGGGCUCGAAGACGAUCAGAUACUGUCCUAGUCUCAACCAUAAACGAUGCCGACCUGGGAUCAGCGGAUGUUGCUUUUAGGACUCCGGUGGCACCUUAUGAGAAAUCAAAGUUUUUGGGGUUCCGGGGGGGGGGGGAGUUUGGUCGCAAGGCUGAAAAUUAAAGGAAUUGACGGAAGGAC
rnacentral:ncRNA from 1 species